rnacentral:misc_RNA from 1 species
UUGAAAUAAACCUGAUGGGUUGUUGCUGGUUCUCUAUGGAACAUGUGCACAUCUGUCAUCUUUAUAUCUCCACCUGUGCACACUUUGUAGACCUUGGGUAGCUUUUCUGAAUGGCUUCAUUCAGGUUUGAGGACUGACUUUUCUUUCUGUCUUGUCUCUCCUUACAUUUCCAGGUCUAUGUUUUCUUCAUAUACCCAAUCUAUGUUAUAGAAUGUAAUUAAUGGGCCUUUGUGCCUAUAAACCUAUA